UACGUAGGGUGCGAACGUUAAUCGGAAUUACUGGGCGUAAAGCGUGCGCAGGCGGUUUUGUAAGCCAGAUGUGAAAUCCCCGGGCUCAACCUGGGAAUGGCAUUUGGGACUGCACGGCUAGAGUGUGUCAGAGGGGGGUAGAAUUCCACGUGUAGCAGUGAAAUGCGUAGAUAUGUGGAGGAAUACCGAUGGCGAAGGCAGCCCCCUGGGAUAACACUGACGCUCAUGCACGAAAGCGUGGGGAGCAAACAGG
rnacentral:rRNA from 1 species